rnacentral:rRNA from 1 species
GACGAACGCUGGCGGCGUGCCUAAUACAUGCAAGUCGAACGCAGUGGGGACGGGUGAGUAACACGUGGGUAACCUCCCAUCAGAGGGGAUAACACUUGGAAACAGGUGCUAAACCGAUACGGAGGGAUGGACCGCGGGUGCAUUAGCUAUUUGGUGAGGGAACGCCGCACCAAGGCCACGAUCCAUAGCCGACCUGAGAGGGGGAUGGGCCACACUGGGACUGAGACACGGCCCAGACUCCUACGGGAGGCAGCAGUAGGGAAUCUUCGGCAAUGGACGAAAGUCUGACCGAGCAACGCCGCGAGAGUGAAGAAGGUUUUCGGAUCGUAAAACUCUGUUGUUAGAGAAGCGGUAUCUAACCAGAAAGCCACGGCUAACUACGUGCCAGCAGCCGCGGUAAUAC